AGAGAGGGAUAAUUGAUGGAAACGUCUUGUAAUGCCCUAUAUGCCUUUAAUACAUAAGUAUGCAAGGGAAACGCUUUUGUGCUCUAAGAUGAGACUGUACAGUAUCAGCUAGUUGGUGAGGUAAUGGCUCACCAAGACUAUGACGCCUAACUGGUUUGAGAGGAUGAUCAGUCACACUGGAACUGAGACACGGUCCAGACUCCUACGGGAGGCAGCAGUGGGGAAUAUUGCACAAUGGACGAAAGUCUGAUGCAGCAACGCCGCGUGGAGGAUGACACAUUUCGGUGCGUAAACUCCUUAUAUAUAGGAAGAUAAUGACGGUACUAUAUGAAUAAGCACCGGCUAACUCCAUGCCAGCAGCCGCGGUAAUACGGAGGGUGCAGGCGUUACUCGGAAUCACUGGGCGUAAAGAGCGUGUAGGCGGAUAGUUAAGUUUGAAGUGAAAUCCAAUGGCUCAACCAUUGAACUGCUUUGAAAACUGGUUAUCUAGAAUAUGGGAGAGGUAGAUGGAAUUUCUGGUGUAGGGGUAAAAUCCGUAGAGAUCAGAAGGAAUACCGAUUGCGAAGGCGAUCUACUGGAACAUUAUUGACGCUGAGACGCGAAAGCGUGGGGAGCAAACAGGAUUAGAUACCCUGGUAGUCCACGCCCUAAACGAUGUACACUAGUUGUUGCGAGGCUAGACCUUGCAGUAAUGCAGUUAACACAUUAAGUGUACCGCCUG
rnacentral:rRNA from 1 species